GACGAACGCUGGCGGCGUGCUUAACACAUGCAAGUCGAACGAUGAACCGGUUUCGGCCGGGGAUUAGUGGCGAACGGGUGAGUAACACGUGGGCAAUCUGCCCUGCACUCUGGGAUAAGCCCGGGAAACUGGGGCUAAUACCGGAUACGACACUCCGAGGCAUCUUGGGGUGUGGAAAGUUCCGGCGGUGCAGGAUGAGCCCGCGGCCUAUCAGCUUGUUGGUGGGGUAAUGGCCUACCAAGGCGACGACGGGUAGCCGGCCUGAGAGGGUGACCGGCCACACUGGGACUGAGACACGGCCCAGACUCCUACGGGAGGCAGCAGUGGGGAAUAUUGCACAAUGGGCGAAAGCCUGAUGCAGCGACGCCGCGUGAGGGAUGACGGCCUUCGGGUUGUAAACCUCUUUCAGCAGGGAAGAAGCGAAAGUGACGGUACCUGCAGAAGAAGCACCGGCUAACUACGUG
rnacentral:rRNA from 1 species